rnacentral:rRNA from 1 species
UACGUAGGGGGCAAGCGUUGUCCGGAAUCAUUGGGCGUAAAGCGCGUGUAGGCGGUUCGGUAAGUCUGCUGUGAAAGUCCAGGGCUCAACCCUGGGAUGCCGGUGGAUACUGUCGGACUAGAGUACGGAAGAGGCGAGUGGAAUUCCCGGUGUAGCGGUGAAAUGCGUAGAGAUCGGUAGGAACACCAGUGGCGAAGGCGGUCUCCUGGGGCCCACUUGACGCUGAUGCGCGAAAGCUGGGGGAGCAAACGGG